rnacentral:lncRNA from 1 species
AGUGCUGGGAUUAUAGGCGUGAGCCACCGUGCCCAGCCUGUACUCCAUUUUUUAAAAAAUAAAACUUUUCAUUCCAUGCUCUUUGAUCUAUUAUAACUUGAGUGGAAUUGGUCUCACAUUUUAUACAAUGAAGAUACUUUUAUUUUAUCGUGAUUACUCUUUUGCCUUUUUUGUUGGUUAGAGGAAAAAAGAAUCCUUAAAGAUGAGUGUGAAAAUUUGAUUUAUUUUUUAAUUCACAAAAGCUGAAAGUUGAACAUGUAGAUGAUUUUUCUUUUAAGAUAGAUAAUUAAAUAUGUAUAGAUUAUCUCAAUUUCUGUCAUCUUGUGCCUGAGAGAUUGAAGGAAAAUCUGGAAAUAAGAGGCAACCACUUCAAACUUUGCAACUUCAUGCAUUUAGCAACUGAGCCACUUCCAAAUCUGUAGUUUGGUCAUGACCUUAGUUCUUAAAAGUCAGAGUGGAAUCCUCAUCUUCUGGUCUCCUUGGAUUUUCAGUUCAGUACCACAAACUUUUGAAAAACUACUGGUGGGUUUUUGAAAUGCCAGAUUGUGUGCCAUGAUCUUUGCUCUUAGGCAGUUUAAAUUUCGGGAGGGAUACAUGGCAAUUUAUUGUAUUCAUUCACUCAUUCAUUCAGCGCUUAUUGCUGGGGGCUGUAGAAACAGAGGUGAUGAAAAUUAGAAGGCCUGUUUGACCGUUGUGGUGGAGGCGGCAGCUGACGUUUAUUUAGCACGUUGUUUCUGAAGCUUUUAAAGAACUUUCCUUGUUAUUAUGUCUUACUAAUUCAUGAAGAUGAUGCUGUUAUCACCCCUGUUUUACAAGAGAUUGAAUAACUUGAUCAAGGUCUCAGAGCUACUGAGGGUCUGAGCCAGGAUCCUAACCCAGGCUGCAGCUGUGCUGACGGCAUUUCUCGUUAUGGGGAAAGGUGUGACCAACUAGCUGACAUCAGAAGCCCCAGGGGGUUAAGGCUGUGUCCUGGGGUCUGCAUUUGUCUCCCAGCCUCCGAGUCCUUCUGCCCUUUCCUCUGUGGGCCUGUACAGGAGCAGGGUUCCCCCCUGGUUACCCUCUGUCAGGGCACACACUUUGCUGAUGCAAUAUUACCUGCCUCGUGCCUUCCUUGGGUUUGGUAGUAUGAUCCUUCUGUAGAGGCGGGUCGAGGCACAAAGAAGGAAAUAACUCAUCCACGGCCCACAGCUCAAAAUAAAUGGCAGUGAGCUUCAUCCUGCUGACUAGUAUUUUGUACCCUUUUCUUUAGAACUUACUUUUCUACUCAAUGCUGCAGAACUGGGACCCCAAGUACUUUAGAAUAAUUUUUAUCAGCGGCUGAAACAACAGUGACAUUCUGUGUAAUUCUCACUCUGGUUGGAAGAAGAGGUUUUAGGAGCCUUGUGAUUCUGCACAGUAUUGGCUCUUAUCGUUUCUCCCUUAAAGGUGUGUGUACACAGCUUUCCAAAGGGAGGGAAUGGAGUGUUGCUACCAGCUUCCUCCGUGUAGGUUCGUUUUCUCUUCCGGACGGGCCAGCAUAAGCUUGUGCACCGUAGGAGCUGCUGGCCUCAUCCAGCCGGUGUGACAGUACCCGCUUGGGCCUGUGUGGCUGAACUGAACCACGUUCCCAUCCUUGGCUGCACAGAGGAUGCUGUGUGGAAUAGAGCUGGCCAGCACACACAGGCUUCUCCCACCAGGCUGUAAGAGGUUGCAGGAGAAAGGUGCCCCUGACGAGCAGAGGCCUUGGUGCUCCCUGCUCCCCCUUGUUCCUUCAGGAGGCUGGUGAGCCUCAGUGACUCUCCUUCUUGUCUAAAGGGUGGCACUGGGCUCACAAGCAAGUAGAAGCCUGAGGCCGGCCAGCCAGAUGGAGAGUAGAUAGAGCUGUAAGAUCCAAGGGCACAGGUGGCCGCCUCACUGCCUCAUCCACAGAAGCACUGAGUAGGUGCACAAGGAGGGCCUCUGGGACUGUGCUUGCGUGAGUCCCACGGCUGUGCGGGCACUGGGCUCCUGUUGAUGACUGAGUUUCCCAGGCAGUUUUCAUUUUGAGGUGAGUCUGUUUCAUUCAUUCAGUCACAGCAUCCUCAGCUGCUGUUGCAGCAAGUCUGUGCUACCUGGAAUGAGCCUGGGGCCCCUUCCUCUAGGUUGGUAUUCAGACCAGCGUGCUUGACUGCAUUAGGAAGUGCAUUCUGAGCAAACCUCUAGAGGUUUCUUUGCAACCUGAUAACACCUCCUCCUACUUGUAUGUUGGCAUUUUAUGUCUCCAGUAGGUUUUAGGGAGAGAUUUAAGCUGCUCCGUCUUUCUGGGAUGUUUGUAGUACAGUCCAGUUGUAUAAUUUCAGUGGCCUGAAUAUUGAGCCGUGGCCUUCUCCAGGAGGAGCAAGUCUUCAUCAUAGGAUUUGAGGCCGAGGGGUCUUUAGAGACUGCCAGGCCCAGCCUCCCCAGGCCACACCGUUAUGUGGAUGAGGUGAUAGAGCUGUGUGCUGCCUCUCUGAAGAGUGCUGUGAAUCGGUAGAAAGAAAUGCUAAUAGGUCCCCAGUUUGAAUGGGGAAAACAUUUGCUGUAUCAGCUGAUGGACCCUAAAUCACCCACUUUCUGUGGGUUUUGUUGUUUGGACAUGGUUCUUGGGUUCUUCUCAGUCGCUCUGUCUGGACCCAGAUGUGUGAAGUCGAAUGGCUAAGGGUGGUUGAAGUCAGGGUCAUCCGAGUAGAGCCAUUUGUUCUUAGUUAAAAAGGCCCAGGCCACAUGGGGCUCAGUGACUUAGCGCUGCGCAUUAAAGGUGGACGGUUGGACGUUUGAGACCCUUCAGUCCUCCACCGUCAUCUAACAGGUGGGGCAAUAAGGGCCUAGAACCUGCUGAACCUGCUGGUGGGACAGAGGCAGGUCUAUAGCUGCCCCCUCCAGGCCACCACCAUCUUCGUUGCGCUAUUUCAAGGCCUCGUGGAAGCCAUGGGCUGCUGCUCCCGCUUGUCUGUGUUGUGUUCGUCUGUGUUGCACGUCCUAGUUUCUUUCAUACAUUCCCUCUGGCCCUUGCAAGUGUGAUCUCUCCCUCCUGUCUCCCUCCCUUUCUCCCUCCCUCUUCCUCCCUCACGCUGUUGCCAGGAGUGGGAGGUGGCAGAGACGCCUGCCCAAGGAACCUGGCCAGAGAUAUCAUGAGGACUGCCUGGCUCUCCAUAUCAACCUGUUCAGUAGUCUGCCUGUUCUUUCUGAGGAUUCUGUGGCCACCUUUCCAUUCUGUUGCUAACUUUGGGGACCUGUUUGUUUAGCUCUUUCUCAUCAAGAGAGAUUCAGAAAAAUUGCCAGGGCUUUUAGAAUCCUGCCCUCACCUGAUAAACUCGCCUUUUAAUGCCAGCUGUGAAUGAGAGAAGGACGCUCUUUGUACACUUGCAUAAAUGAGGUGCUCUGAGCUACGUUGGGUUGUCUAGGAAACAUGCCUUUGGAGGGCGGCAAGGACGGAGGGCUGGGGUAUUAGAGGCGAACAGGAGAGAUUUGCAAAACAAAGCAAAUAAAAACAAACCUGCAUAUCUUCAAAUAAAACAUUUUAGCUGAAAGAGAGAAAACAAGAAAUCAAAGCCCCUUAAGCAGGAAAGAUUUUCAUUUUCAUUUUCAGUCUUAAAUUGACAAGUAAGAUGGCAUGCAGACCUUUUUCCCCUUUGUUCUACGCCAGAGCAAGACUUUGUUAAAGAAACAGUAUUAGAGUUUCCCACCAACUCUUGACUGCUCACCAUUUAAGAGUCAUUUUUAUACAGGGUCAUGCCUUUGUAGUCAAGAGCCUACAUUCUUGGUAAUGCCCUUUGAGAUUUUCCCACAUGCUGGGUGCCCAUGGGGGUAGAGUCUCCUCCACCAAAACCUUGGUUGCAGUCAUGAGCUUUGCUCAUCCCCCCACGGUGGGUUUCUCACUCCGGGUGUGUAUUGGUCGAUAACCCUUUGAGUCUCUGGAGUUGGUCUCUCUGUGUUCCGUGGCAAUGGUUUGUGCUCAGCUUGGUUUGGGAAAUCUUUGAUGCAGCACAGAAGCUGUCUUCCCUCUUUGGUCUUUGUCCCCGUGGGGCAGAAGCUGCAAUUUCUCAAGAAGAAAGAAAUGAUAGUUGCUGAAACGGAGCCUGCUCCUAUUGUUAAGAGGCCCCGUGAGACAGGUAAAGACCGUGCCUUUCUCCACAGAAUCAAUUUCAUCUUGUAAGCACGGCCAAACAGAAACAUGCUACCGAAGUCAGAAAAUCAGAAAAUCAGAAAAUCACCGGAGAGGCCCGUCACACACAUUUACCUUAUGCAGACUGAACACUAUGUGCCGGGGGUGAGAGCCACACAGGUAGAUCAGCCUGCUUCCAGGCACGGGAGUUCUGUCUGCCUUUCGCUGAGGAGCAGAAGCCCUGUGGGAAGCAGGAGUGGAGCGCCACUUCUGAGUGAGGGUCACUCAUUUCAUCUGAUGUUGGGAAGAAAUGACAGUCUGACCCAAUGAGGGAGCACAAAUUUGGGCUCCUAAAAGAGUCUUUGUUCAAGAGACUGAUUGUGUCGCAUUUUGCUUCUCUUCCAUUUUUGAGUCCUGUCUUCACACCUGACCCUCAAAGAAGACGCAACAUCAAGGUCCACCCGAAUACCUGGAACCACCAUGAGCAUGACAACAGCCGGUCACACUCGUGUGGUUCAGGGAGUCAGAGGCUGUGAGUGCCAGAGGGAACCUCGGGAUCAUCUGAGUCAUCCUCCCCAUUCUCAGGGAAACCUAUGCCAGAGAAAGAAGUUGGUUUUCCGAGGGCCCCAUCUGUGAUGGAGCUGAGCCUGACCCCGUCCCCCAUGUCUGCUCUGAUGCUCCCCUCCAGCCCUGCCUCCUGCCACAAUGUUUGUGUGGGGCCUUGAAGAGGGCAUGGCCUGCUUUAAAUGUUCCCAUGUAGAUCUGGGGUAUGUCUGGCAGUUAUUCCUACUCGUUUGGUGAUAGAGCAAAUGGAGGCUUCAGAUGGAAGCGUCUGAAUGGAUCUCUUGUUAGCAAAUUUAUAUCAUUUCAUCCAUCUGCCGACCAGGUAUCUCUGCACGCAGGGAACUUUUAUUCUUUUGGUGGGGAGAGAGAAAUACUAAGUUGGAUAUUGGCAAGCACUAAGAAGCACUAAGAAGAAAGAACUGAGAAAGGAAAAGAAAGUGUUGCAGUCUUUAAUGCUGGCUCAGCAAGGCCUCACUGAGCCGGUCAGCAGUGACGGGAGUGGUGAGCACCAUGCGCAAGGGCAGGCAAGUGAGUGCGGAGACUUCCAGGGGGCCCUGAGGCCUGAGCCGAGGCUGCUGGGGCUGGAGCAGCCUGAGCAGGGGAGGGCUGUGCUCAGUGUCAUCUGAGCAGCAAUGACCCCCAUGGGGCCUGGAGGCCAGUGGAGGGACAUUGGUUAACGUGGGUUAACAUGGCCUUUUUUGAAAAGGGUCGCCUUGGGAACGUACUGAGACUAGGUUGUAGGGAGAAGCUGGGUGGACUCCAGGAGACCAGUUAGGUCAUUGUGCUAAGCCAAGUUGGAGUGAUCGGUGGUGGCUUGGAGCAAGAGGGUGGUAAUAGUGGCUGGAUUUGACUCUGGUUUGAAAGUUGAGCUGAUGAAAGGGUUUGCUUAUGAAUCAGAGGAACGAGUGAGAGGGUAGUUGAAGAUGGCUCCAAGGUUUAUGCCUCACUGGCAGGGAGGGUAGAGUUGCCAUUCCUGAGUGGCUGGUAGGAGAGGUUCUGAGUUUGGAAGGAUGGCAGGAGCUUAGUCUUGGAUGGGUGCCGUUUGUGUGGCCUGUUGCACAUCCUAAUCAUUCAACACUCUUAGUCAAAACCCCACGGGUCUUUACGUUGUCCUCCCAGGCAGUCGUUGAUUUCUGCCCCCGUUUUGAGGUCCUUGUGUCCACUGUGGAAUGCUGGACUGUCCUUUAGGGCCGAUGGCUGGAUGGAGGCUUUAGGGCCCACUGGUUCCCACUUUCCUGCCUGAGGUCAGAGCCAGCUGUCAUCUCGGAGCUUCAUGUUCUUCCUUUCCAGUGUGGACAUGGCGAUGUCUCAUCAGGAAGUUGCAAGGAACAACAGGAGGAUGGUGGUGGUAGCUUUCCUAGAUUGAGGUAUUCACGGUAGAUGUGCGCGAAUGACGGGUGAGUGUGGAGGAGAAUCUGAAGAGGUAGAGAGAGCGCCUUUUACGAACCCUUGCGUCUCCGGGAUGGAUGUGUGCAUGGAUAACCGGGGACAAUACAAAACCAAACACACCCCACACCUCUGCAGUUCUGUUAUUUUUCUCCAGUUUACCAGUGUAGUUUUAAUUCUGUUCCUUUUCUCUAGAGAAGUUCCUUAUAAAUAAUCUCCCUCUCACAUUCCUUGUAAGUGUUCGGGAUAUGUGUUUGUCCUGAAAUACGUGUGUGAGUCUGCAUCCAUCCGUAGAAGUGUGUAUGCAUAGGCGCAUGUUUGUGGACAGAAACAGCCCAGCACUUCCGGAGCUUUCAGCUGUCCCUGUACGUGGCAUUGGGCCUACCUAACCUUUGCUUCUUUGCCGUAGACUCUCCAUCUGCAAAAUAGAGACAAUCCUUGCAGCUUUUCUUCUCUCUGGGAGGUUAAUGAUUGAGUGUAUGUAUAGUGCUGGGAAGCCUUUGAAGUAAAAUCACAAAGUACAUGUGUAUUAUUUUUGUAGCUCUAAUGGUAUUUAUAUUUAAAUCAUUAUUAUUACAAUAAUAAUACACUGGUUUGCCAAUAAAACACAAACCACUUCAGAAGAACGUUCUAAAAUGGUAGCAUUUUCUGAGGCCGGGCAGCAGUGUCUAAUUUUGGGCCUUCACAGUCAGUUUCGCGAUUCAUGUGUUAUGCAUUUUCAAAGAAUAAUCAAGAGCAUGCAGGAUUGCCCGGGGCAGUGAGUACUGAAAAUGUACAGUUGGGCCAGUUGUGCUAAGAGAGUGAUGGGACAUCUGCACGGACAUGGCUGUAUUUCACGCCAGUUAGGGGCUGUCACUGCAGCCGGCGCCAUCUUGGAGCCCUCGGAGCUUGACUUGGUGAUAAUGCGUCAUCAGAGCUGAGCACCUUGUGUCAGCUGUCCAGUUACAGCGAGGUGUAAAGUGGACGAGUGUCUCAGUGAUGACUGAUGGGUUUUUUCUUUCAGAUCCAUGCAAAAUUCAUAAACCUGAUUUAUAACCAGUGGAAUUUGUGCUGCCGGAAGCAGAAGGCUCAAAUGCGGAGCUUUGUUUUGUAGGAAAUGUCUUUCUUUAAGGUGUCCUGAUGCUUUCAUCCCUGAGCACAUCCAGGUGAUGACACCAGAGGCUCUGCAUGAGGGGAGACGAGGAAGCAGGUGUACCUGGUCUCCUUUCAUCUUGCAGGAAAUCCCAUUUAGCUUAUUGGAGUUGGACCAAUGAUCACAUUAAGAGCAGAAGUCACAGAGCAGGCUGUUUGUUACGAGUUUUGUAAAUAAGAUGUAUCCUGCUGAGCCCCACAGCACAGGGCACGUGGAUGUCCACAGGGGGACAGAUUGUGGCCAGGCACCCUUGGCAAGCAAGUUCUUACUGAGGUCAGAAGUGACUGGCCUGCCCUGUGGGUGGUUGACACUUUGCAGCCAUCAUAUCCCUCACAGCAUGUCCACAUCUUUGAAAGCAUUUUCCUCCCAGGCUCCGGGACAGCAAGCCUUCCUGGCCUUGGCAUUCCUGUGGACCCUGUCCCUCCUCACCAUCAUUUUCGGCUUCUGUGUGUGCCGCUUGUCCUCCUCUGCCUGGGCUGUUGGUUCUCUCGAGCUUUCUUCUUGACCUUCUCCCCUUUCAUCCUGCGUUCUCCACUCUUGCAUGCUAGUGUCUUCAUUGAACUGUGUACUUAAAGGUCCACAAGUGGCUUUUAGCAGGUUUAGGAGCCUCCUGACAUGAUACCAAAUGUUAUAUCUCUGUACGUUUUUCUGGAUAAAGGAAGCAUCGUUUUUAUCAGUUUUGGGUGUGGGUGUUGGCCUGCAAGGUUAAGAUGUCGUGCUCUGAAAUGUCAGCUUUCUAGCCCAGAUCUGUGUCCUGAGCUCCACUCCCUUGUAUCCACCUGCCUCCUUGCCAGCUCCUUGAAGAUGCUGGUACCACAGAGUCCAGUGCUGGAGGCAGAGGCAGCAUGCUGUCCCACACCUGCUGCCUUGGCCAUAUUCUUUGGUCAGUACAUCUGCCCAGUCUGCUGAAACCUGAGGGCCCCUGGAUUCUCUCUCUCAACCCCUCAGCAUUGUUGGUACCAGAGCUGACUCUGUCCCUGGUCACCCUCUCCUGUCCUCCACGUCAGGACCACCCCGUUGUCUCCUGCCUCUGGCCACCCUCUUGCCACAUUGCUUGGAUGGCCUUUCACCAGGUCUGAUCCGAGGGUGGUCUCGUCUUUGUCUUAGCAGCCGAGGUCUGUGACCUUGACCACCUGGUGAAGUGUUUGCUGUAAAGUCACUCUUUUUUCCUUGCUUCCCAUACUGCACUCUCUGGAAGGAAGUCACUGUGUGCAGCCCACACUGAACGGGUGGGGGUCAUACUUCACUUCCUUGAGGGGAGAGCAUGUUCAGAAAUUAUUUGGAAUUUUUUUGCAUGAGAGACUUUUCUGUUUUCCACAUUUAAUUUAUCCAAUUAUUUAUAUCAAUAUGAAUUUUAAAAUACUUCAUAUUUCGAGUUGCAGUCAAUAUUACAUUAUAUGUUUUAUUGCUCAGAUUGAUUCACCUUUGCCAUUGGAUGGUCUUUCUGUUGGCCCCUGGGUUCCAUGACACACUCUCAUCUGUGUGUGUGUGUGGCCAUUUCUCCAAGGAGCCCUAGUUCCUUUUAUUGGUGGAUUGUAUUAAAACCAAGAUCUGUAUGCCUGGUAUGUUCCUUGUCAAUUAUCUUUUAAAGAAAUUAUUUAAAAAAUGCCUUUCAUAUUUACCUUCAUUUUUAUAAUUUCCUGUUUUUUUUCAUUUAUUUUUGUAGGUCUGUAUCUACUUGGCCUUAAACAUGAUUUCUUUUGCCUGAAGAACUUUAACACUUUUUGUAGCUUUAGUUUGUCUGAAAAAACAUUUCACUUUGUUUUUGAAACAUAUUUUUACUGGGUACAGAAUCCUGGGUUACCAGUUUUAUUCCCAGUCCUUUAACACUGUCAUUCUAUUGUCUUUUUGUCCUGCAUAAUUUCGGAUUGGAAGUCUUUUGUCAUUAUUAUCUUUGGUCCAUGGCUUAGGAUUUGAUAGAAUUCUGUCAAAGUUAGCCAAAUCUAAUAUUAACAUUGACUGAGUAUUUACCUCUAUCAGGUGCUUUGUUCAGCUUAGCUGUGCAUGUGUGUGAUUCUCCCAACACCCUUAAGAGGGAGGCAGGGAGGGAGGUGGCAUUUUUCCAUGUAUAGGUAAGGAAGCUGAGAGUUGAUCAGGUUAACUGAUUUGUUGAAGGCCACUUAACUAGGAGGUAGCAGAGCUGUGAUGGUCUGAUGCCAGAGACAGUCUGCAUCUUAACCACUUUAUUGAAUUCAUCCUCUUCAGAAGGUCGAGGAUCAGGUCACGGUCACACUAGUGUAGUUAAAAUGCUGUUACCACAGUAGCAAGUCCACAGGGCCCAUAGGCACUAGAGUCAGACAGGUCCACAGUAGCAAGUCCACAGGGCCCAUAGGCACUAGAGUCAGACAGGCCCCAGCCCCAGUCCCGCUCUGCUUCUUGCAGGCUGCGUGACUUUGAACAUGUCCUUUGCCUUGCUCAGUUUGUGUUUUACCUCUUAAAUAGGUGAGAGCUGCUGUUUGCUUUAGAUCAGGAUUAAGAAACGUGAUGCGUGUAUGUGAGUACUGCGGUCAACACUGGGAAGUGUUUCUUGGUUGGGGUGUGCUCAUUCCUAUCUGUUGAAUGAACGAAUUGGAUUUUGUGCAGGUCAGAUACGUUGAUUUCCUUGUUCAAGGCGGAGAGUUGUGGGCAUAGCACACACUCGAGCAUCUUGCCUCACAUUUCAACCCCUCUCAUUGGCCCCCUCUCCUGGGCUCAUCUUUCCAAAGCACAGCCCUCAUGACGUCACUAUGUCUGUGGCUCCAUGCUCUGGGUGGAGAGCAGGAGCUGAGGACGCCGAGCUGAGUGAUGUGGAGGAUGGGACAAAACAGCCACCGAACGUGGCUGAGUACCAGCGUGUGUUCAGCUGAUUCGUUUGGGCUGGAGUGAAAUGGGUCAUCUACCCAUUAGGGAUCUAAUUGGAAAUAAUACUGUGCAAUUUAAUACAGUGAUUUCUUAACAUUUUUUUAGCCCAAAUUAGCAAAAUGCUUCAAAAUGUUACAGGCAAGUGAAGUGGAAAUAAUUGAAUCCCAGGAAAGGAUAAAUGGAUUGUAUUGGAAUAUUUCAAGGAGGAAUUUCUGAUCAGCUUAGGAAGCGAAGGGGUUAUCCUUGUGAUAUUUUAUUGAACCACAAAAUGUUAUUUAUAACCCAUGUCAGGAGCAAUUAAACUGAUUGAUGAUUAAGGAAGUUUAAUAGUUGAAUAAUAAGACGCGGCUUUUGAGAGCUGUUUUUUCUCAUUCUGGAAGCGUAUUUCGUGAGUCUAGUAACAGUGUUAAGGACAGGCCAUUGCUAUGCUGUGGGGUCAUUAUGUGGUGGUAAUGUUCAGCGUAGUGUUACGUGGUAUGUUACUUAUAAAAAAUUAAAAAUUAAAAUACCAAUUAUGUUUGUUUGAUUUGUUAUUGAAGUGGUUUGUUAAUUUUGAUUUACCCAAAGCAGGGUUAAUUACUACAUAUUGAUAUAUUUGAUUAAAAGUACGCUAACGAUGAAUAAGAAAGGCCAAACAAAAUAAAUUAUUUUCCACUCACCCUGAAUAGUUUCAGAAUUUUAGCAGUCUUUCAUGUUUAUGUAAAAAGGCAGCUUCACACUGGAAGGAUUUGCUGUGAUUGGCAGCUUCUUAGGCAUAUGUAUCAGCAGAGGCCGUAUUUGCAUUUUGAAAACAACCUAUGCUACUCACCUUGACACGUUUUCGUUUGUGUGUGUGUGGUAGUAUUUGUCUUUAUGAGCCAUUUCUUAUGUUCGGGAAGAUUAAUAAAUUAAAAUUCUUUCUUUUAGAAAUAAGCAGACAUGUUACAAAGUAGGAAACACAAAUGACUAAUAAGCUGAAAAAACCGUCUAACUUCACAGGUGAGGUGAAGUUGACACUCUUCCAGUCUUUUGCUGUGAAACAACCAUUCUGGAAAGCAGUUUGCUGGCCACUGAACAGCCCAGUGCCUCCCUGUCCCGAGGACAUAGAAGGUGAUGUGUGUGAAGGCUGAGCACGGGGCUCCCUGUGGAGGCAAAUGUUUGCAUGAGUUGAGGCUUGAACCAGCCCAGAUGCCCACCGAUAGAGGAAGUUUAAAGCCAUUGGGUACAUUGAUUUCUGUGUCGCCCUAAACAUGAUUUCAUAAAAACCUUUUUCAGUAUGUGAAAAUGAUCAGGGUAUAAAUAAAAACAAUAGGACAUAAAACUUCA